GACGAACGCUGGCGGCGUGCUUAACACAUGCAAGUCGAACGGAAAGGCCCUGCUUUUGUGGGGUGCUCGAGUGGCGAACGGGUGAGUAACACGUGAGUAACCUGCCCUUGACUCUGGGAUAACUUCAGGAAACUGGGGCUAAUACCGGAUAGGAGCUCCUGCUGCAUGGUGGGGGUUGGAAAGUUUCGGCGGUUGGGGAUGGACUCGCGGCUUAUCAGCCUGUUGGUGGGGUAGUGGCUUACCAAGGCUUCGACGGGUAGCCGGCCUGAGAGGGUGAACGGCCACAUUGGGACUGAGAUACGGCCCAGACUCCUACGAGAGUCAGCAGUGGGGAAUAUUGCACAGUGGGCGGAAGCCGUAUGCAGCAACGCCGCGUGCGGUAUGACGGCCCUCGGGUUGUAAACCGCUUUCGCCUGUGACGAAGCGUGAGUGACGGUAAUGGGUAAAGAAGCACCGGCUAACUACGUG
rnacentral:rRNA from 1 species